UCAUCAGGCAUCAAUGCCCCGCUGCCGGCAGCCUGCCAGUUUCACCCCCCAACGGGGUUGUCAGCUAUCUGACAUGGCGGAGGGGGGGUAACAGGCAGCGCGGCACAAUGCAUCCAUGGGCGAUCCAAAAAUAGAGAAUCGAGAAGAGUUGGGAAAAUGGGACUUGACCCCGGAGAUGGAGAGAGAAAGUGAGCACAUAGUAGAGAAGCAGCAGUGGAUCUCCUGCGUGAAGGAUCACUGACGGGUCUGCAGUAGGAAUACAAGUCUACACAUGAAGUCUGCUACACGUCAUGAUUUGCGUGAUUUGGGAGACCACAGUGCUGGCGACGUCACAAACUCACGUUAACACAACGCGACGGUUAACGUUGCACGCGCGUUAGCCGAGAUUUCUUCCACGAGUUUUUUUUUCUUCAUUUUUUUAAUUUUUUAAACCACGAUAAUUUUUCUUCCUGGUCUUCUUCUCUAACCUCGGACUUAGAAAAAAAGAUGAUAAUAACCCAAAACAAGAAACCGACGAAUACACAUCAUGACUAAACGGACCUUGUUAUCAUGUCGCGGGACGCCGACCGUUGAAACUGUAGCAGCGCUCAUGCUAGCGAGCAGCGAGCCUUCAACGCAGUUUCUUUCGACGUGAAUCCGACUCAAUAUCGGCGGCGAUUAAAACACCCGCACGGUUCACCCAAAGGCUCCCGAAGACACGUUCGUUUUCGUCCGGGCAACAAAUUCAAGUUGGUCUCCACUCAAACCUCGCUGUGCGCUUUGGCAAAGCGGUCGAUGCUAACCAGCCGCGCUAGCUCGCUAGCAUGCCCGAGACAAAAGCCUGAAUGAAGUUCCUAUGGGUGCAAACACCCAUCCAGGUGCCGCCGCUCUCUGCCAGGAGUGCACACGCCCGGGAAUCAGACGCACGUAUCGUUUCGAGAGGGAAAAGACGCCUGACAACGUGGAGCCUCGUCAAGAAGAAACGACACGCGGAGGGCGUCCUGUUCCGGGGUCACAUCCCUCCAGUCGGCGCAGCUUCGGCGAACUACCGACUCAGCGCAGCGAGCGUCCUGCUGCAUGUUCAGUACCGCCACCGGCCGCAGGGGGCGCCACCGCACCGGGAAACGCUGGCCCUCUUCAGAACUACACAUGGCAUAUCACUGGAUUAUAACUGCAUUAAAGUGUGGGAAUUACUAAUGGUGCAAGGAGUUAUUCAAACUACUUUUCUUUGACUGCUGUAUCAACACAAAUACCUCAUAAGUGUAUUAGUACAUUUAGGUACUGUAUUAAUGAUCUGAAUCUUCAAAGAUACUAGAUAACAAAUGCACGUAGUGCAGUGAAAAGUACAACACUGUUUAAAAAAAUACGGUGUAGAAGUAAUAUAAGUAGAUUUAAAUUGAAAAAAAAUACCCAAGUAUCAAAUCAGAAGUGUACAGUACUGCACUGCUAAACGCAGGUCUGCUAAAGAACAAAACCUUACUGAUUGAAGUAAUUUAAUUUGGAAAAAUCUGAUGUCCUUGCUUGUCAAAUGUUCAUCCCAAAUCUGACAAAUGUAUUUUUUAAGGAAGCUCAUUUAUUUUUUAGGCAAGUCCUUCAUGGAAAGUGUUACCCACAAAAAUUGAACAAAGUAUUCCAGUGUCAAAUGUGUACUGGCUUUAAAGUUACAAAAAUGUGCAGCCAACAUUGAUGCUAUUCAUAUGUAAAUGUUUCAUGUAUAUACUAGUAAAGCGAUCACAACAUUCAAGUUGUGCUAUGAAUAUAUAACUUGAAUACACUUGAAAUCAUCAGUAUCUCUCAUCCUUACAGUAUGUUUACUAGAAUUCGCCACAUGUCUUAUAUGAGAAUGUGGUUCUGUGUCCAAAAUAGAGAAAGAAAACCAUACAAAAAACAAUGACCGUAUUAUACAAUAUGUAGACUGUUUGUAGUAACCACCUUCCACUCAGUUUAAUUAACAAACGUGUUUUUUGUGAAGUGUAAACUCCCACAGACUCGUACAAAAAGCUAUUGCUUUGAAACACUGCGCCUACUUAAUGAUUGGGUGAAUUCGGUGGGACUUCAUCUUUGAUCAGGCUUUUUUAAAGUUUUUAAAUUAAUUAAGCAUUUAAAUUAAAUUAAACUAAUCUAACAUAUGGCUCCUAGAAAGUCAGCUCUGCUGUUGCACACUGUUAAUUGAGUGUGUGUGUUUCCCUGAAGCGGUUGCAAAAACAGGAUGCAGAUAAAGGAGAUGCGUCUCCAUUGGACAUAUCUUGACAGGAUCAUUUAUCAGCUUUAGCGGCACACGUGUAAACAAUAUCUGAAUGAUAAAAUAAUUGUACCAUCUGACAGAAUUCAUGAAUUACAAACAAUUAAAAAGCCAACGGCAGAAUAUUUAGCUAUUUGCAAACAUUGCUCAUACAUUCAAUGGACUCACUCCUUCUGGCUUAAAGCAGCAUAGUUUGGUUGAGUCCAUUCUUACGGACAUUAAUGACCUAUAUGGAAAAAGGCUUCCCACUGUGACUUAUUGAGUAAGGUAAGGUAAGGUAAGUACCUUGGUUUACAUCUACAGCUACACUUGUUAUUCUCUGAAACUCAUCAUCGUGGAUUGUUUGUAUAUGAAAUAAAAAA